rnacentral:rRNA from 1 species
AUUGAACGCUGGCGGCAGGCCUAACACAUGCAAGUAGAGCGGAGCGGCGGACGGGUGAGUAAUGCCUAGGAAUCUGCAUGGUAGUGGGGGAUAACGUAAGGAAACGGGAGAUAAUAGCACAUACUACACGGUGAUCAUAGGUGGGAUUAGAUAGUUGGUGGGGUAAAGGCCUACCAAGGCGACGAUACGUAACUGGGCUGGUGGGAGGAUAAGUCACACUGGAACUGAGACACGGUCCAGAUGCCUACGGGAGGCAGCAGUGGGGAAUAUUGGACAAGGGGCGAAAGCCGGAUCCAGCCAUGCCGCGUGUGUGAAGAAGGUCUUCGGAUUGUAAAGCACUUUAAGUUGGCAGGCGUUACCAACAGAAUAAGCACUGGCUAACUUCGUGCCAGCAGCCGCGGUAAUUC